CAAAGUGACUGAUCUUAAUUUAAGUAACACGUAUUGAAAAAUACAGAAAGUAGAUAGGGACAAUUAGAAAAAAAUAGCAGCGUGGAACAAGGGACAAGAAAAUUAUCCAAUAUAUGUCAUGUUUUUUUCGCUAUGUCGCACUGCGGAAAAUAAAAUAAGAAAAUAGCAUGAUUUGCGCGAACGAAACGAAUAGAAGCUCGCGAUUCGCAAGCAGAACUGCGACGAAAUGAAACAGAGAGAGAAAGAUAAAGACAGGCGAGAGAAAUACAUGUUGAAACGGCAGACAAUCAAUAAGAAUAAAUAAACUGAAAAUAAAAGAAAAAAAAAAAAUUACAAAUUAUACAUAAAACUAAGAAGCCAUAAAUUAAAUUAACAUAAUUUCAAAGAUUAAUUACACAAAUGAAAAUAAAAGUAAAUUUAAAUUGGUGUUAAGAAAGAAAGUAAUGAUUAAUAGAGAUAAAGAUAGACUUGGAUAAAAGAGUAAUGAAGUACGUCAAACAUAAAGCACCAGUAAGAAGAAAAACUUAAACUGGUUAAUGAAAAAGAAAAAAAAAAAAGAAAAAAAAAAGAAAAAAAAAAAGAAAAAAAAAGGAAAAAAAAAAAACAAAACCAUUGAAAAUAAAAUCAGAUCAUAAUAAUAAUAAAGAAUUAAUAUUUAAGAACGGUCAAACAGUGCGGAGAUUGGACUUGCGGACUAACCAUAUAGUAAUCCUGAGAGGGGGAUCUGCCUGUCACAGAUACAUUCUGCACCAGAGUUCUUUUGCUCGUCUGAAACUAAUGCAGGAUAUAUCGCAAGAUCAAAAGGGCUAAAACAUGAGGUACGCAUCAUCGAGGUAACACGGCAAAGAACUCAAAUGAAAAUGCAAACCAAGUGGAUAAUCGACUGACAGUGGCACAACGGUGAUCAGAAGUGGCUGAGAAAGGAAAGCAAACGAACAGAGAGACAUAUAGGCUGUUUCAGAGUUGCUAAACGUAUAACAGAUAUCCGAGUUUCAAUAUGAUUACAAGAGGCCUGCAACUACGAAACAACCAGUAAUAUAUGCACACAUACAAGAAAAAUGUUGCGACGUGUAAAAAAAUGAGCCAACGAACGAGGGGAUGCAAUGUGAGGUGCAAUGCGGACAAAGUGAGCGAUAAAUGCGGCUUUCUUCUGAUGAAAAACGAUCGGAGAUGCAAGAUCUCCGUUACCUGUACAAAGGAGGGACAAUUUUUCAAGUAAAGCUCAAGAAAAAUCCGCAACUACUUCUCUAUAUAUAUAUAUAUAUCCUACAACAAAUGGCUCAGUAAAAGCUUCAACAAAGCGCGAAUGCAGAAGAUUAAUAUUAAAAGAUGUGAGAAAUAGAACCCCAUAUUAUUAUAUGCAUGUGUUUCAUUACUUCAUUUUCCAUAAUUGUAACACGUGCUUGUUUUUAUUGCGGAUCAGAACAACCACACAGAAGCAUCCCAGUUAUACAUAUAUAUAUGUAUAUGUAUAUGUAUACAUUGAUAACCAUUUCUUUUAUUCAAUUUAUGCUUAUGUUAUUUUUCUCAAAUGUUUCUUUUCUUCUAUUUUUGCCUUUUUAUCAUAUUGUUAGUGCGCUCAACGCGAGAGCAGCGAAAAUUAUUAUUAGUCCCAAUUCGCAAGGUAUUCCCUAACCUCGUCUUGCGAAUUGGGAGAUGACCUAAGCGGACAGAGAAAAAUAAAUGCAAAGAGAAUGAAAAAAAAAAUCGGUUUGAAAAGAAGAAAGUUUUCGGCUCCGUGCGUGUGAUGAAUAGAAAUGGGGAUCGAGAAAGAACAAGAACGAAACCAGAGGAAGAGACAAACAAGAAGGAGAGAAAUAUAUAUAUAUAUAUAUAAAUGUAUAGACAUAGAAACAGAUAGAGAAACAGAAAAAAAAAAGAGAGAAAGACAGAGAUAAAUAGUUAAAAAGUUAUAAGUUAUUGAAAGAACAUAGUCGAAACAGCUCCGACAAGAGAAUAGAGUGAUUACAGAUAAAGCGCUAAGCGCAAAAAUACCGCUUUAUAUUAUAAUAAUAACUCUAAUUAUUCCGAAUUUUCAGCUUUGCAUGAGAACUUCGGAAUCAAAAGUUUAUAAACUUGAACUCAAGUUCAAGCACGCUACUGAGAUCCCUUGCACCAAAACAAAAAACGCAAAUAUAUUACAAUACGUGUGUGAUAUAUUGUGAGUGACGAAUAUUUAGUGGAUCGUCAAAACGCUGUUUUCAUUAGUUACUCUUUCACACAAACAAGUACGUAGACGUCAGAGAAGGAUCUUCAGUCAUGCAAUGACUAAUAUUGAAGUUUAAGUUCUUUUUUUAAGACAAGACACGAGUAACAGUUUACUAUCCACUAAGCAAACUAAUACUCAUUUUUUUAUAAACUCUACGUACUACAGUAUCUAAAUAAAUAAAUACAUGCUUAACAAAUUUCCAAGAAUUCUUACUUCCACAAUAAUAAUAUAUCAAUAUUCCAGAUAUCCUUAAAUAUCUUUUUGAAUUUUUUAUGACACUUUAAUAACAUUCUCUUAUAAUAUUCAUUUCUUCCAUUAAUUUUGAGUUCAAAAUGUUUUAAAGACCUGUCUAUACUGACAAACAUUGUCCUCAAACAAUCCGUGUACAUUAUUUGUCAGCAGUCAGAGUAAUAUUGCUUGGAUCAUGCACACAGAUCAUAUCACAGGAAGUGUCGUGCGUUCACAUUUAGUUUAUCAGCUGAAAUAUAGAUCAAUAGUUAAUCGAUGAAAUUAUCCCAGGAUAUAUUUUAUCUUCUAUUUAUUUACAGAUUGUCGGAGAAUAAUUAUUUGUCAAUACAGAUUAAUCCUUUAUUCAUUCUCUGUAGAAUAAUUUUCAACUUCUUAUACCUAUAAUUCAAAAAUAUAUAUAUAUACAAUCUAUAUAUUCAGAUACUGUGGUACUUUCUUAUUCAAUUUUCUAUCUUCGAACAUUCAAAGUUUCUUUCACAGAAGAAACUUGGAACAUUUUAUCAUUUGGCCAGCAUUAACGUAAAAUUACAAGAAGAGGGGAGCGAGGGAACAACUGAGCACGCGCGAUCAUUCUUGUCCAAUGUAUUCAAUUCAAAUCACAGUGUUCAUCAUGUCAUUAUUUAAAUUGAAUUCCUUUCAAUAUAUCCGAGCAUCUAAGGAGCAUGCUACGUAAAGCGUAUGUAUAUUAGUAUGGAGUGAAAGACAUAUGACGAGCAAAAGCAAUAGAAAAAGGAAUUUGUAAAAGCGAAAACAUAAACCAAUAGAAGCGCUACGAUAUAUCAUAUACAGCUAUAUCAAUAAUAAUAAUUAAUAUGAGUUCCA
rnacentral:lncRNA from 1 species